rnacentral:lncRNA from 1 species
CUUCUCUUGUCUGUCACCACGUGAGAUGUGCUUUUCACCUUCCACCAUGAUUGUGGGGCCUCCCCAGCCACAUUGAAAUGCAUUUAUGAAGUAGGGACCUGGAAUUGAAGAGACUCCUAAAGGAGAGACAGAAGUUUGAAAGAGCAAGAAGAGUGGAUGUGGAUCCAGACAGAAAAAGAGAACAGCAAAUAUUUGAAAGAGCUUAAGACGUACUCCUCAAGGUUGAAGAACUCACUUUGGCAUUUCUUGUAAGAUGGUUCUGGUGGUACCACAGAUAGAAGCCUUGAGAAGCUUACUUUGGUCAGAAAUUUUGCCUUUGUCUGCAGGCUUCUACCAGUUCGAUUCCAUCUGUGGGUCUUAGGUUUCAGUUACCUGAAGUCAAAUGUGGUCCAAUACACAGACUGGAAUAAGAGACAUUGGAGACUCCAAAAGAAUAUUUUCUGGUAGACUGAUAUAUUUCUCCUAAAAAAUUUG